CCUACGGGGGGCUGCAGUGGGGACUAUUGGACAAUGGGGGCAACCCUGAUCCAGCCAUGCCGCGUGUGUGAAGAAGGCCCUCGGGUUGUAAAGCACUUUCAGUGAGGAAGAACGCCUGGUGGUUAAUACCCAUCAGGAAAGACAUCACUCACAGAAGAAGCACCGGCUAACUCCGUGCCAGCAGCCGCGUAAUACGGAGGGUGCGAGCGUUAAUCGGAAUUACUGGGCGUAAAGCGCGCGUAGGUGGCUUGAUAAGCCGGUUGUGAAAGCCCCGGGCUCAACCUGGGAACGGCAUCCGGAACUGUCAAGCUCGAGUGCAGGAGAGGAAGGUAGAAUUACCGGUGUAGCGGUGAAAUGCGUAGAGAUCGGGAGGAAUACCAGUGGCGAAGGCGGCCUUCUGGACUGACACUGACACUGAGGUGCGAAAGCGUGGGUAGCAAACAGGAUUAGAUACCCCUGUAGUC
rnacentral:rRNA from 1 species